CCUUGUACACACCGCCCGUCAAGUCAUGGGAGCCGGUAGUGCCCGAAGUCGCCCUUCCUCAGGGGGUGCCCACGGCAAGAUCGGUGACUGGGACU
rnacentral:rRNA from 1 species